AGAGUUUGAUCCUGGCUCAGAUUGAACGCUGGCGGCAUGCCUUACACAUGCAAGUCGAACGGUAACGCGGGGGCAACCUGGCGACGAGUGGCGAACGGGUGAGUAAUGUAUCGGAACGUGCCCAGUUGUGGGGGAUAACUACUCGAAAGAGUAGCUAAUACCGCAUACGACCUGAGGAGAAAAGCAGGGGAUCGCAAGACCUUGCGCUUUUGGAGCGGCCGAUGUCUGAUUAGCUAGUUGGUGGGGUAAAGGCCUACCAAGGCGACGAUCAGUAGCUGGUCUGAGAGGACGACCAGCCACAUUGGGACUGAGACACGGCCCAGACUCCUACGGGAGGCAGCAGUGGGGAAUUUUGGACAAUGGGGGCAACCCUGAUCCAGCCAUGCCGCGUGAGUGAAGAAGGCCUUCGGGUUGUAAAGCUCUUUCAGCCGGAACGAAACGGUUACGGAUAAUACCCGUGACUAAUGACGGUACCGGAAGAAGAAGCACCGGCUAACUACGUG
rnacentral:rRNA from 1 species